rnacentral:lncRNA from 10 species
UCUUAGACAAUACUGUGUGUAAAGGAAUAUUAAUCACAAUAUGAUUUAUAAUUAGCUAAUGCCUAUAAAGUCUUAAAUGUUCACUAAUAUGAAAUGAGGUGUUAUACUUUCUUCCACGGCACAGAAAUCUAUACAGUCUUGCAAAUUGUACUUUCAAAAAAUAUCUAAGACUAUUACAGACAAUUUUAAAACGAUCACAAUACAAUAUAAUUGUGCUUCAAAUAAAGCAAUAUACCAACUUACAUACAGUAAAAUGUCAAUUUUAUGAAACAGAUGUAAAGGUGUUUAUUUGAAUGAGGCAUCAUUUAAUGGCCUCAGUUACUCACUGAAGUUUUGUUUACUAGUUUCUAGAGAUUAAGGCACAUGAAAAUAUAAGAUCACAUUUUACAGAUAAAAUUACACAUACCCCUCAAAAAAAGACGAGAGGGUAUAGAGAAGUUGUUACACUGAAACAAAGUCAAAUUUAGUUGUCUGAAAUCCUGCAAAAUACCUUGCAAAAUAUAAUUGUUACUUAGAGAAUGGAGUUUUCAUGAAGCAUUUGCUUUUCUAGCUUAAGGCUAGGAUUUGAAGAGUCAAAACACAGGAAAGUGUCCUACACCAACGGGCCAAAUCUAGCACAGAUAAACACAGGCGCUUCCUGUGGUUGAAGAUUCAAAGAGUGUGAAACCAAGUUGGAGCAAUUGGAUUGUAAGAAAACUAAAAGUUGAUAGCAGAAACCAAUAUAAGUAAUUGUGUCUAAUGCAGGCAAAAUGAUUGUAUUUA